AUCAUAAACAGAUGUUAUGUUGGCAGGUAGCUGAGCAUUAUGAGCAGGUGAUUGCGACUGAUGUGAGCGAAGCCCAACUGAAAUGUGCCAUUCCACAUCCCCGGGUCAAAUACCUUCACACCCCCUUAUCUCUCCCCGAUGAUGAAAUAGUGAGGUUGAUAGGGGGCGAGGGCUCGGUUGAUUUGGUGACUGUGGCUCAAGCUGUCCACUGGUUCGACCUCCCAACCUUCUACCCUCUAGUAGCUCGCCUGCUAAGAAAGCCAGGGGGUGUAUUUGCUGUUUGGGGCUACAAUGACAUUGCAGUUAGUCCUACGUUUGACCCAGUGAUGAAGCGCUUCCACGACACCACUCUUCCCUUCUGGAAUGAAAAGAUCCAAUACAUAUUUGAUGGGUACAAGACUCUGCCGUUCCCUUUUGAGAGUGUGGGCUUGGGGUGUGAGGGCCAGCCAGUGUCACUGGACAUACCCAAGAAGUUGUCAUUUGAUGGGUUUUUGAGGAUGUUGAGGUCAUGGUCUGCAGUAACCACGGCUAAGGACCGAGGCAUAGACCUGUUAUCGGAACGGGUGGUGAAAGAGUUUGAAACUGCCUGGGGUGGCUCCCGGGUGGUUCCAUCAGUCACCUACAACGCUUUUAUGCUUGCAGGGAAAGUCAAGCUGUAACCGUCAGUCUCUAAUAACCCACCUUCUUGUUGUACUGCUUCAAAUAAACUCUCUAAACAGCAGUUUUCUUUCUUGUUGAGGAAUUGUUUUACCAGAACAGAAUGAGGUGAGGUUAAAAAUCUAGUCCAAUUUCAUCUGAAAGUGCAAUUUCUGGCCAUAAAUUAAGGAACGUUGUGAACUACUUGUGUGAUUAUUGCAAUUACCUACCAUAAGCUUUCAUUUUGGCAGGGGGUUAAAAACAGUUUUUAUUCUUCAAAAAGAAAAAAAAAAGUUCUUCAAUUUUUAAAAUCACAUUUGAAGAAUUUUGUGCUGAAAAUAGUGUUUUUUUAACCCCAGAAUCAACAUAUUAUAAUAUAUAUAUAUAUAUAUAUAUAUAUAUAUAUAUAUAUAUAUCUAAAACAAAAUAAAAUUUUAAAAAUAAAUUUAAAGUGUCUGAAAUAUUUUCUUAUAGUAUUUUAAGAAAUAAUUAAAAAUACAAUGAAUAGAUGGAGAAUAUUGAGAAUAGGGUUGCCAAUGAGACAGGGAUUUUUUGGAUACCUACCUUCAAUAUUCCACUUUUCUAUUAUGAUAAAUCAUAGUAACUAAGAUAUUUUUCAUAUUGAAAAUAAUAAUUAUAUAAUAUAAUUUAUAUUUUCAAUAUGUAUCUUAAAAUGUGAUAGGUUUGUAAUAUAACAAGUUCUUUAUUUUUUAAUCUUUAUUUGUUUAUUUUUUUAAAAACUUAUCAAUACCUCUUAUUAUUAUUACUAUUUAUCUUAAUUUUGUAAAAGACAAUUAUUUAAAAUAAAGCCAAUAUUUUUUUUUAUCCUAAUCUCCUUUUUCAAAUAUAAUAUUGCAUAUAUUGUGAUUUAAUUAAUCAUUGACAUUGUUUUAGCCAUUAUUUUUAUUUUUAAGAGAUAAUGUCGAAUUUAGAGAAUUCAUUUUGAAUCCGUUGAUUUCUAUGUUUAUUUGUGAGUUUGAUGUUGGGUUGUCUAUUUCUCAUUUAUUUGAUUUGGUAUGAGAAUAAUUUGAUUUCCUUUCAACUAUAUCGUGUCUUUGAAGGUUAUUUUUUUUUUUCUCGUCUUUAUGUCUAAUCUCGGUUUCUUUUCCUACCAUUUAUAAGCAUAUAGGGGGAUUUUUCUGGUUUCUCGGGAGCAAGAGAAGUGUAUUGGGAAAUACUUCUGAGGUAAGUUCACUCCAUAUUCCUUGUUAUCUUCGAUUUUACACUGUUCAUAAUUUUUUUCUGUUAUGUUUGAGAGUUAUUUGUUGACUCUAUGUAUGUACUAGAAAAUUCAUUUUAAAUUCUUUAAUUUCUAUGUUUCCUUGUGAGCUUGAUGUUGGGUUGUCUAUUUUGCAUUACCAUUUCUCAUAUUCUUCGUACCCUCAAAACUUUAUAUUUUUUUUAAAUUUUUUUUUUUCACUUGUAAAUGGAAUAAUAUUGUUUAUUCAUACUAACUAGGCUUAGAAAUUAUUUAAAAAAAAAUCAAAUAUGAAAAAAUUUAAGACGGUACAAAGAAUGUGACAAAGGUUUCUCACAUUCUUUGUACCCAAUGAUGAAAAUAUCGGUAAUCACGGAUAUAUCGGUAACUUGAUUUUACGGAUAUAUCGGAUAUAUCGGUGAAAUAUCGACGGAUAUUUUGAAAAAAAAUUUUGAUAAGUAAAAAAUUGAUCAAAACUUAUGGAAAUGUAAAAAAACCUCGUGUUAAUGUAAUUAAAAAUAUAAUAAAUAAUUUAAAGUUGUUUUUGUGAAGAAUUUGAUAUAUAUAUAUAUAUAUAUAUAAUAUGAUUUGUGAUAUUAAGCAUAAUUAUAUUAUAUUAGUUGUACUUAUACACUCAUUAUGAAGUUUCAUGACAAACUUAUUUUAGUAAAUAUCAAUAAUUUAUACAUAUUAUCACAUAGCUUGAGGUUCAAUUUUGACUAUUGGAUCACAUCCAGUUUCAAUUUGGACCAUCCAAUGCACUGGGGUCCAAAUUGAAAUAUCAAUAAAAUAUUUUAUUUAAGAUCUAAUUUCUAAAAUUUUAUUAAAAAUACGUGGUAACAACUUUCUUUUAUUAACAUUAAUUUAUUUAAAUAAUUAAAAUUAUUAAUAAUUUAUCUUAUUAAAUUAAUUUUAAUCCAUAGUAGUGAUUUAAUCAUAAAUAAUUAAUAAUUAUUUAUAUAGAGAGAGGAAAAUUGUUCUCAUGAUAUGUUUCCUUUUUUUUUUUUAAUCUCUACUAAAUCUAAAAAUAAAAAGGCCACCCACUUCUCUCACUCGGGCAUCAAGAAGCCCGAAGCCCUUUUCUGAAGUUGCCCUCCAGACGAGAGAAUCCCUAAAAAGGCCCUAUUUUCCUCUGCCACUCUCAAUCCUCCCCGGUACUAAUCUAAUCUUGUUAUUUAUUUUCAUUUUUCUGCAACCCCGUUUGAUUCCCAUGAAAAUCCAUCCGCCAUUCGAUUUCUGGGAAAAUUCAUCCUCGUUUGAUUUCCGAGAAAAUCCAUGCAAAACCCCCCAGGAAAACCAGAAAGAUUGCUUUUUAUUUUUUGCUUCCUGUGUUUUCUGGAUCUGUUCUAGGGGUCGCUUUGCUUUUGUGCCAUUGGAUUUAAAUUUCACGAACCCUAAAUCCACGAUUUUUGAGCCAGGCUAAAAAACACAACCUUUGCCUGCAAAUCAUGAUCAGAUUUUGUCACCUGUGCGCGGGCUGGACUGGUAGGAAAUAUCGGGAAAUUUUCAGAAAAAUCGGUAAAAAAUCGGCUAUACAAACCGAAAAUUCGCCGAUAAAUUGCAGUGUCCGGCUAUUUUUUGAAGAUUUCGCCGAUUUUCGUCUGCAUCCAUUUUUCGGCAAUUUUUUCGCCGAUUUUAACCGAAAUUUGGCGAAAUUUCUCCCAUCGACAUUUCGCCCCCCUCUUUCGUAUCGCCGACCACCGAAACCCGAAAUUUCGGCGAAAAAAAUGGAAACUUUCAUCCUUGUUUGUACCUCAAAUUUUUACAUUUUUUUCAAUUUAAUUAUUUUUUAUACAUCCACAGUGGUCAACAAUAUUUUUUACCUUAAUGAACGUCGCUUUUCGUAAAAGGCAUCAGCCCCGAGAGCAAAGGCAAGCAAAUGAAAUAUAAAAACGGAGUGGCACCGGCACAUUCCCCAUAACAAGAAUAGGGAAGAAUGGCAGGGCUGUUCAACAAGCAGGCGGAGAUCUACUUGGAUGCUCGCCCUAAUUAUCCCCCACACUGGUAUUCUAUGUUGGCCGCUCUCACUCCACAACACUCUUUGGCUUGGGAUGUCGGCAUGGGCAACGGUCAAGCAGCUCUCGGUGUCAGUCCUUUCUCCUGCCUCUCUCCCUGUCUCUAAUUUUAUUUGAUUAAACUCAUCUUUAUUUGCUCAUGUUGUGAUUUAUUUACCCUAAAUCACCUGAUGCGGUUCCUUUUAAUUUUUCUCUACACCUAUGAAAUAGAAAAUUUUAGAUUGAUUAAUUCCUUUUCCUGCAUUUUCCUUCAGCAUAUUAGAUUUAUUUUCUUGGGCAUAUUGAUGUUAAAAGUGCCAAUUAAAUUUACUCAUGGAGAAAAGGGGUUGUGAUGAAGCAAUUCAAAUCAUAAACACAUGUUAUGUUGGCAGGUAGCUGAGCAUUAUGAGCAGGUGAUUGCGACUGAUGUGAGCGAAGCCCAACUGAAAUGUGCCAUUCCACAUCCCCGGGUCAAAUACCUUCACACCCCCUUAUCUCUCCCCGAUGAUGAAAUAGUGAGGUUGAUAGGGGGCGAGGGUUCGGUUGAUUUGGUGACUGUGGCUCAAGCUGUCCACUGGUUCGACCUCCCAACCUUCUACCCUCUAGUAGCUCGCCUGCUAAGAAAGCCAGGGGGUGUAUUUGCUGUUUGGGGCUACAAUGACAUUGCAGUUAGUCCUACAUUUGACCCAGUGAUGAAGCGCUUCCACGACACCACU
rnacentral:lncRNA from 1 species